rnacentral:rRNA from 1 species
CCCUUAGAUGCUCUGGGCCGCACGCGCGCUACACUGGUCGAUGCAACGAGUUUCUUUCCUUGGCCGACAGGCCUGGGCAAUCUUUGAACAUCGAUCGUGAUCGGGAUAGAUUCUUGUAAUUUUUGAUCUUAAACGAGGAAUUCCUAGUAAACGCAAGUCAUCAGCUUGCAUUGAUUACGUCCCUGCCCUUUGUACACACCGCCCGUCGCUCCUACCGAUUGAAUGGUCCGGUGAAAUGUUCGGAUCGCGGCAAAUCGGACGGGUAACCGUCAGGUUCGCUGCGAGAAGUUCAUUAAACCUUAUCAUUUAGAGGAAGGAGAAGUCGUAACA